ACUGCUCAGUAACACGUGGCUAACCUACCCUCAGGACAGGGACAACCCCGGGAAACUGGGACUAAUACCCAAUAGGCGAGGAUGCCUGGAAUGGUUUCUCGCUCAAAGGACCUUGGAUACAUGCUUCAAAGUCGCCUGGGGAUGGGGCCGCGUCCGAUCAGGUUGUUGGUGAGGUAACGGCUCACCAAGCCUAUAACCGGUACGGGCCGUGAGAGCGGUAGCCCGGAGAUGGGCACUGAGACAAGGGCCCAGGCCCUACGGGGCGCAGCAGUCGCGAAAACUCCGCAAUGCACGAAAGUGUGACGGGGCUACCCCGAGUGCCGUCCGCUGAGGAUGGCUUUUCCUCGGUGUAACUAGCCGGGGGAAUAAGGAGAGGGCAAGACUGGUGUCAGCCGCCGCGGUAAUACCAGCUCUCCGAGUGGUAGGGAUGAUUAUUGGGCUUAAAGCGUCCGUAGCCGGCUUAGCAAGUCUCCUGUUAAAUUCAGCGACCUAAUCGUUGAGCCGCGGGAGAUACUACUAGGCUAGGAGGCGGGAGAGGCCGACGGUACUUCCGGGGUAGGGGUGAAAUCCUAUAAUCCCGGGCGGACCACCAGUGGCGAAGGCUGUCGGCUAGAACGCGCUCGACGGUGAGGGACGAAAGCUGGGGGAGCGAACCGGAUUAGAUACCCGGGUAGUCCCAGCCGUAAACGAUGCGGGCUAGGUGUUGGGGUGGCUACGUGCCACUUCAGUGCCGCAGGGAAGCCAUUAAGCCCGCCGCCUGGGGAGUACGGCCGCAAGGCUGAAACUUAAAGGAAUUGGCGGGGGAGCAC
rnacentral:rRNA from 1 species